rnacentral:rRNA from 1 species
GACGAACGCUGGCGGCGUGCUUAACACAUGCAAGUCGAACGGAAAGGCCCUGCUUUUGUGGGGUGCUCGAGUGGCGAACGGGUGAGUAGCACGUGAGUAACCUGCCCUUGACUUUGGGAUAACUUCAGGAAACUGGGGCUAAUACCGGAUAGGAGCUCCUGCUGCAUGGUGGGGGUUGGAAAGUUUCGGCGGUUGUGGGUGGACUCGCGGCUUAUCAGCUUGUUGGUGGGGUAGUGGCUUACCAAGGCUUUGACGGGUAGCCGGCCUGAGAGGGUGACCGGCCACAUUGGGACUGAGAUACGGCCCAGACUCCUACGGGAGGCAGCAGUGGGGAAUAUUGCACAAUGGGCGGAAGCCUGAUGCAGCAACGCCGCGUGCGGGAUGACGGCCUUCGGGUUGUAAACCGCUUUCGCCUGUGACGAAGCGUGAGUGACGGUAAUGGGUAAAGAAGCAACGGCUAACUACGUG